rnacentral:rRNA from 1 species
GUUGUAUGGUUAAGUGACUAAGCGUACACGGUGGAUGCCUUGGCAGUCAGAGGCGAUGAAAGACGUAGUAACUUGCGAUAAGCCCAGAUUAGGUAGUAACAACCAUUUGAGUCUGGGAUUUCUGAAUGGGGAAACCCACGUGCAUAAGCACGUAUCCUUACCUGAAUACAUAGGGUAAGGAGGCGAACCGGGGGAACUGAAACAUCUAAGUACCCCGAGGAAAAGAAAUCAACCGAGAUUCCGAAAGUAGCGGCGAGCGAAAUUGGACUAGCCCUUAAGCUUUACACGCGUUAGACGAACGGUCUGGAAAGUCCGACGAUACAGGGUGAUAGUCCCGUAGUUGACGACGUGUGUUCAGUGAAAUCGAGUAGGGCGGGACACGUGAUAUCCUGUCUGAAUAUGGGGGGACCAUCCUCCAAGGCUAAAUACUACUGACUGACCGAUAGUGAACCAGUACCGUGAGGGAAAGGCGAAAAGAACCCCUGUGAGGGGAGUGAAAUAGAACCUGAAACCGUGUACGUACAAGCAGUAGGAGCAGGCUUUGUCCUGUGACUGCGUACCUUUUGUAUAAUGGGUCAGCGACUUAUAUUCAGUGGCAAGGUUAACCAUCUAGGGGAGCCGUAGGGAAACCGAGUCUUAACUGGGCGUUCAGUCUCUGGAUAUAGACCCGAAACCAGGUGAUCUAGCCAUGGGCAGGUUGAAGGUUGAGUAACAUCAACUGGAGGACCGAACCGACUAAUGUUGAAAAAUUAGCGGAUGACUUGUGGCUAGGGGUGAAAGGCCAAUCAAACCUGGAGAUAGCUGGUUCUCCCCGAAAGCUAUUUAGGUAGCGCCUCGGACGAAUACUACUGGGGGUAGAGCACUGUUAAGGCUAGGGGGUCAUCCCGACUUACCAACCCUUUGCAAACUCCGAAUACCAGUAAGUACUAUCCGGGAGACACACGGCGGGUGCUAACGUCCGUCGUGGAGAGGGAAACAACCCAGACCGCCAGCUAAGGUCCCAAAUUACUACUAAGUGGGAAACGAUGUGGGAAGGCUCAGACAGCCAGGAUGUUGGCUUAGAAGCAGCCAUCAUUUAAAGAAAGCGUAAUAGCUCACUGGUCGAGUCGGCCUGCGCGGAAGAUGUAACGGGGCUAAGUA